UACGUAGGGACCAAGCGUUGUCCGGAAUCAUUGGGCGUAAAGAGCGUGUAGGCGGUUUGUCGCGUCUGCUGUGAAAACUCGGGGCUUAACCCCGGGCCUGCAGUGGGUACGGGCAGACUAGAGUGUGGUAGGGGAGACUGGAAUUCCUGGUGUAGCGGUGAAAUGCGCAGAUAUCAGGAGGAACACCGAUGGCGAAGGCAGGUCUCUGGGCCAUAACUGACGCUGAGAAGCGAAAGCAUGGGGAGCGAACAGG
rnacentral:rRNA from 1 species